UGGAGACAUACUAAAUGACAGUAGCUGACUGCAAGGCAGGGAUGGACAAGGCAAGUCACAUAAGAACUGGAUGGGCACAGAGUUGUAGCUCUGGUCAUGAU